GGUGUCUUAGCCAAGCGGUAAGGUCCGAAGCUGCAACCUUCGUAUUCGUCGGUUCGAAUCCGACAGACACCUCCA
rnacentral:tRNA from 1 species